GAUGAGAACGUAGCGAAAUGCGAUAAGUAAUGUGAAUUGCAGAAUUCAGUGAAUCAUCGAAUCUUUGAACGCACAUUGCGCCCGCCAGUAUUCUGGCGGGCAUGCCUGUCCGAGCGUCAUUUCAACCCUCAAGCCCCCGGGCUUGGUGUUGGAGAUCGGCGAGCCCCCCGGGGCGCGCCGUCUCCCAAAUAUAGUGGCGGUCCCGCUGUAGCUUCCUCUGCGUAGUAGCACACCUCGCACUGGGAAACAGCGUGGCCACGCCGUAAAACCCCCCACUUCUGAAAGGUUGACCUCGGAUCAGGUAGGAAUACCCGCUGAACUUAAGCAUAUCAAUAAGCGGAGGA
rnacentral:misc_RNA from 1 species